rnacentral:tRNA from 1 species
GACUAAGCUCAGACGGUAAAGCGUCUGCCUACAAUGCAGGAGACCCAGGUUCAAUCCCUGGGUCG